rnacentral:lncRNA from 1 species
ACGGUGGCAUGUUGCACCGUGAUGUGUUGCACCGUGACAUGUUACACUGUGAUUUAUUGCACCGUGACAUGCCAUGCAUGCUCUGUUGUGUUGCACCGUGACGUGUUGCACCGUGACGUGUUGCACUGUGAUUUAUUGCACUGACAUGCCAUGCAUGCUCUGUCCUUUUGCACCAUGACGUGUUGCACCGUGACGUGUUGCACCGUGAUUUAUUGCACCAUGAUUUAUCGCACCGUGACAUGCCAUGCAUGCUCUGUUGUGUUGCACUGUGACGUGUUGCACCACGAUUUAUUGCACAGUGACAUGUUGCACCGUGACGUGUUGCACCGUGAUUUAUUGCACCGUGACGUGACGUGCUCUGUCGUGUUGCACCGUGACGUGUUGCACCGUGACAUGCCAUGCACGCUCUGUUUUGCACCGUGAUGUGUUGCACCGUGAUGCGUUGCACUGUGAUUUAUUGCACCGUGACUUAUUGCACCGUGACAUGCUGUGCUCUGUCGUGUUGCACUGUGACGUGUUUCACCGUGAUUUAUUGCACCGUGACGUGCUGUGCUCUGUCGUGUUGCACCGUGACGUGUUGCACCAUGACGUGUUGCACCGUGAUGUGUUGCACCAUGCAUGCUCUGUUUUACACCAUGAUGUGUUGCACCGUGACGCGUUGCACUGUGAUUUAUUGCACCGUGACUUAUUGCACCGUGCCGUGCCGUGCUCUGUCGUGUUGCGCUGUGACGUGUUGCAUCAUCCUGUGCCGUGCUCUGUUAUCUUGCACCGUGACGUUUUGCACUGCCCUGUGCCGUGCUAUCUCGCGUCUCACCCUUCUGUGUCACGCCAGGCCAUGUUGCACCACGCCGUGCCAUGCUCCGUUGGGUGGCACUGCUCCAUGGUGCACCGUGCUCUGUUGCACUGUGCUGUGUUGCGCCGUGCCACGCCAUGCUGCUGUGUUGCACCGUGCCAUGUUGCGCUGCGUUGUCCUACACCACCUUGUGCCACACUCUUGUGUUGCACCAUGCUGUGUUGCGCUGCACCGUCCCCUGCCAUGCCGUGUUGCGCUGUGCUGUGCUGUGUUGCAUCGUGCCGCCUUGCGCCGUGUCGUGCUGCGUUGCACCACGUCAUGCCAUGUUGCACCAUGUCGUGCCGCAUUGCACUGUGUCAUGCUGUGUUGCACCGCCGUGCCAUGUUGCACCGCCGUGCCAUGUUGCACCAUCGUGCUGUGUUGCACCGUGUCGUGCUGUGUUGCACCGUGUCGUGCCGUGUUGCACCAUGUCGUGCUGCGUUGCACUGUCGUGCCAUGUUGCACCAUGUCAUGCCAUCCUGCACCAUGUCGUGCUGCCUUGCACCACGUCAUGCCAUGUUGCACCAUGUCGUGCUGCAUUGCAUUGUCAUGCCGUGUUGCACUGCCAUGCUGUGUUGCACCACGUUGUGCCACGUCACACCAUGUCAUGCCAUCUUGCACC